rnacentral:tRNA from 1 species
GCGGGUAUAGUAUAAUGGCUAUUAUACGUCCUUGCCAUGGAUGAGAUACGGGUUCGAUUCCCGUUACCCGCUCCA